UUCUUAUUGGAUGAUGACUGCCACGUGUCAUGUUCUGAUUGGUUAAUUAAAACAACAAUUCAUUUCAUCUUUCGUGGAAUUGACAUCCAAUCAGAACAUGAAACGUGGUGGUCAUCAUCC
rnacentral:pre_miRNA from 1 species